UGGAGGGAAGAGAGGCGAAAUUAUAGUGAGUUGGCGGCCUUGGCUUGGAUGGCGUUCAAUCAAAUCAAAAUUUAUUAAAAUUUGGGAGCCAACCGACCAAGCAAGCGGAGAAAAAGCCCAUUCCAUUCCAUUCCUUACCCGCACCGCACGCGGCCCGAAUCAAAGCCUUUCCCCUUCUCCUCUUCUCUGGCCAUCCGCCGCCUCCUUCUCAUCCCAGCGACGACGGCGGCCGAUCUACCUCGACCUCCACCUCCACCUCCACGCAUCCAUGGAGGAGGCAUCCAACCCUAGCCCCAUUGGGUCACCGGCGCUGGAUCCUCCGUUGUGCGGCCGGAAGGAGCAGCUGCUGGCACGGGACGUUGCUCGGCGACGAGGCGUGCCGGCGAAACACGGGCCACCAGGGCAGCAACCACGACGCCCUCCCUCUCUACUCGACCUUGAUGAAGAUACGCUGUACCCGUCAGGGUCCUGACUGAUCGAGUGACAAGUAGGAUUUGGGUGGAUUCAGAUAAAGAACAGCAGCGGCAGGAGAGUUUUCAGUUUUAGUUUCAGACAAGGUAGGCAGGCUGAGGCAGGUGCCUGAUGGAGGCGUUCAGUAAACACUGAAACACAUAAAUGGAAAAGUACCUACAUCUCCCACGUUUAUGCACAAAGAGAUGGCCUGCUGUUUGUGUAUGCUGGAUUUUGACUAAUUCAAUGUCUGGCGGUCCAGAUUAUAUGGUCAGAAGCUCGGUGUAUUAUUGAUCUGUGAUGUUCUGUGAUGCCAAUAGAGCAACCUUUGUGCUUCUUGUGAUUUUCCUACAAUAAUCAGUGUCACCGUUCAAGUGGAUUUA